rnacentral:rRNA from 1 species
AGUGAACGCUGGCGGUAGGCCUAACACAUGCCAGUCGAACGGCAGCACAGUAAGAGCUUGCUCUUACGGGUGGCGAGUGGCGGACGGGUGAGGAAUACAUCGGAAUCUACUUUUUCGUGGGGGAUAACGUAGGGAAACUUACGCUAAUACCGCAUACGACCUACGGGUGAAAGCAGGGGAUCUUCGGACCUUGCGUGAUUGAAUGAGCCGAUGUCGGAUUAGCUAGUUGGCGGGGUAAAGGCCCACCAAGGCGACGAUCCGUAGCUGGUCUGAGAGGAUGAUCAGCCACACUGGAACUGAGACACGGUCCAGACUCCUACGGGAGGCAGCAGUGGGGAAUAUUGGACAAUGGGCGCAAGCCUGAUCCAGCCAUACCGCGUGGGUGAAGAAGGCCUUCGGGUUGUAAAGCCCUUUUGUUGGGAAAGAAAAGCAGCAGGUUAAUACCCCGCUGUUCUGACGGUACCCAAAGAAUAAGCACCGGCUAACUUCGUG